GAUGAACGCUAGCUACAGGCUUAACACAUGCAAGUCGAGGGGCAGCAUGAACUUAGCUUGCUAAGUUUGAUGGCGACCGGCGCACGGGUGAGUAACACGUAUCCAACCUUCCGUUUACUCAGGGAUAGCCUUUCGAAAGAAAGAUUAAUACCUGAUAGUAUGGUGAGAUUGCAUGAUAACACCAUUAAAGAUUUAUGGUAAACGAUGGGGAUGCGUUCCAUUAGGUAGUAGGCGGGGUAACGGCCCACCUAGCCUGCGAUGGAUAGGGGUUCUGAGAGGAAGGUCCCCCACAUUGGAACUGAGACACGGUCCAAACUCCUACGGGAGGCAGCAGUGAGGAAUAUUGGUCAAUGGGCGAGAGCCUGAACCAGCCAAGUAGCGUGAAGGAUGACUGCCCUAUGGUUGUAAACUUCUUUUAUAAGGGAAUAAACCCUCCCACGUGUGGAGCUUGUAUGUACCUUAUGAAUAAGCAUCGGCUAACUCCGUGCCAGCAGCCGCGG
rnacentral:rRNA from 1 species